rnacentral:rRNA from 1 species
AGCAGCCGCGGUAAUUCCAGCUCCAAUAGCGUAUAUUAAAGUUGUUGCAGUUAAAAAGCUCGUAGUUGAAUUUCGGGAUCAAUAUGUCGGUCGUGCCUUCGGUACGUACUGGUAUCAUUGGUCUCUCCUUUCUGACGAACCAUGAUGUCAUUAAUUUGGUGUUAUGGGGAGUUAGGACUGUUACUUUGAAAAAUUAGAGUGUUUAAAGCAGGCUUUAGCUUGAAUACAUUAGCAUGGAAUAAUGAAAUAGGACGUUCGAACCUAUUUUGUUGGUUUCUAGGAUCAACGUAAUGAUUAAUAGGGAUAGUUGGGGGCAUUAGUAUUCAAUUGUCAGAGGUGAAAUUCUUGGAUUUAUUGAAGACUAACUACUGCGAAAGCAUUUGCCAAGGAUGUUUUCAUUAAUCAAGAACGAAAGUUAGGGGAUCGAAGACGAUCAGAUACCGUCGUAGUCUUAACCAUAAACUAUGCCGACUAGGGAUCGGAUGAUGUUAAUUUUUAAUGUACU